rnacentral:misc_RNA from 1 species
UCUCCGUAGGUGAACCUGCGGAGGGAUCAUUACAGAGUUCAUGCCCUACCGGGUAGAUCUCCCACCCUAUGUUAUUAUUACUUUGUCGCUUUGGCGGGCCGUUAGGCUCCGGCCCGACUACCGGCCCCGGCUGGUAAGCGCCCGCCAGAGGACCCAAAACCCUGAAUAUUAGUGUCGUCUGAGUACUAUAUAAUAGUUAAAACUUUCAACAACGGAUCUCUUGAUUCUGGCAUCGAGAAGAACGCAGC